rnacentral:rRNA from 1 species
CGGACGGGUGAGUAACACGUGGGCAACCUGCCUGUAAGACUGGGAUAACUUCGGGAAACCGGAGCUAAUACCGGAUAAUUCCUUCCCUCACAUGAGGGAAGGCUGAAAGACGGUUUCGGCUGCUCACUUACUGAUGGGCCCGCGGCGCAGUAGCUAGUUGGUGAGGUAACGGCUCACCAAGGCGACGAUGCGUAGCCGACCUGAGAGGGUGAUCGGCCACCCUGGGACUGAGACACGGCCCACACUCCUACGGGAGGCAGCAGUAGGGAAUCUUCCGCAAUGGACGAAAGUCUGACGGAGCAACGCCGCGUGAGCGAUGAAGGCCUUCGGGUCGUAAAGCUCUGUUGUUAGGGAAGAACAAGUACCGGAGUAACUGCCGGUACCUUGACGGUACCUAACCAGAAAGCCACGGCUAACUACGUGCCAGCAGCCGCGGUAAUACGUAGGUGGCAAGCGUUGUCCGGAAUUAUUGGGCGUAAAGCGCGCGCAGGCGGUCCUUUAAGUCUGAUGUGAAAGCCCACGGCUCAUCCGUGGAGGGUCAUUGGAAACUGGGGGACUUGAGUGCAGAAGAGGAAAGCGGAAUUCCACGUGUAGCGGUGAAAUGCGUAGAGAUGUGGAGGAACACCAGUGGCGAAGGCGGCUUUCUGGUCUGUAACUGACGCUGAGGCGCGAAAGCGUGGGGAGCAAACAGGAUUAGAUACCCUGGUAGUCCACGCCGUAAACGAUGAGUGCUAAGUGUUAUAGGGUUUCCGCCCUUUAGUGCUGCAGCUAACGCAUUAAGCACUCCGCCUGGGGAGUACGGCCGCCAGGCUGAAACUC